UCCGGUUUGUCACCGGCAGUCCCAUUAGAGUGCUCAACUAAAUGUGGCAACUAAGGUCGAGGGUUGCGCUCGUUGCGGGACUUAACCCAACAUCUCACGACACGAGCUGGCGACAGCCAUGCAGCACCUGUGUUGCGGUUCCCUUUCGGGCACCCCUGCAUUUCUGCAGGGUUCCGCACAUGUCAAGGGUAGGUAAGGUUUUUCGCGUUGCAUCGAAUUAAACCACAUGCUCCACCGCUUGUGCGGGCCCCCGUCAAUUCCUUUGAGUUUCAACCUUGCGGCCGUACUUCCCAGGCGGAAUACUUAAUGCGUUAGCUGCGGCACCGGCGGUAACCCGCCGACACUUAGUAUUCAUAGUUUAAGGCGUGGACUAC
rnacentral:misc_RNA from 1 species